rnacentral:rRNA from 1 species
AGAGUUUGAUCAUGGCUCAGAUUGAACGCUGGCGGCAGGCUUAACACAUGCAAGUCGAGCGGUAGCAGGCCUUCGGGUGCUGACGAGCGGCGGACGGGUGAGGAAUGCAUAGGAAUCUGCCUAUUAGUGGGGGAUAACACGGGGAAACUCGUGCUAAUACCGCAUACGUCCUACGGGAGAAAGCGGGGGAUCUUCGGACCUCGCGCUAAUAGAUGAGCCUAUGCCGGAUUAGCUAGUUGGUAGGGUAAAGGCCUACCAAGGCGACGAUCCGUAGCUGGUCUGAGAGGAUGAUCAGCCACACUGGGACUGAGACACGGCCCAGACUCCUACGGGAGGCAGCAGUGGGGAAUAUUGGACAAUGGGCGCAAGCCUGAUCCAGCCAUGCCGCGUGUGUGAAGAAGGCCUUCGGGUUGUAAAGCACUUUAAGUGGGGAGGAAGGUUAGUGGUUUAAUACGCUACUAAAUUGACGUUACCCACAGAAUAAGCACCGGCUAACUCUGUGCCAGCAGCCGCGGUAAUACAGAGGGUGCAAGCGUUAAUCGGAAUUACUGGGCGUAAAGCGCGCGUAGGUGGUUUUGUAAGUUGAAUGUGAAAUCCCCGGGCUUAACCUGGGAAUGGCAUCCAAAACUGCACGACUAGAGUAUGGGAGAGGGAGGUAGAAUUCCAGGUGUAGCGGUGAAAUGCGUAGAGAUCUGGAGGAAUACCGGUGGCGAAGGCGGCCUCCUGGCCUAAUACUGACACUGAGGUGCGAAAGCGUGGGUAGCAAACAGGAUUAGAUACCCUGGUAGUCCACGCCGUAAACGAUGAGAACUAGCCGUUGGUCUCCUUGAGAGGUUAGUGGCGCAGCUAACGCGAUAAGUUCUCCGCCUGGGGAGUACGGCCGCAAGGUUAAAACUCAAAUGAAUUGACGGGGGCCCGCACAAGCGGUGGAGCAUGUGGUUUAAUUCGACGCAACGCGAAGAACCUUACCUGGUCUUGACAUCCACGGAAUCCUGCAGAGAUGUGGGAGUGCCUUCGGGAACCGUGAGACAGGUGCUGCAUGGCUGUCGUCAGCUCGUGUUGUGAAAUGUUGGGUUAAGUCCCGUAACGAGCGCAACCCUUGUCCUUAGUUGCCAGCGAGUAAUGUCGGGAACUCUAAGGAGACUGCCGGUGACAAACCGGAGGAAGGUGGGGACGACGUCAAGUCAUCGUGGCCCUUACGACCAGGGCUACACACGUGCUACAAUGGCCGGUACAGAGGGUUGCCAAGCCGCGAGGUGGAGCCAAUCCCGAAAAGCCGGUCGUAGUCCGGAUUGCAGUCUGCAACUCGACUGCAUGAAGUCGGAAUCGCUAGUAAUCGCAGAUCAGAAUGCUGCGGUGAAUACGUUCCCGGGCCUUGUACACACCGCCCGUCACACCAUGGGAGUGGGUUGCACCAGAAGUAGUUAGCUUAACCGCAAGGGGAGCGAUUACCACGGUGUGAUUCAUGACUGGGGUGAAGUCGGAACAAGGUA